UGGGGAAUAUUGGACAAUGGGCGCAAGCCUGAUCCAGCCAUGCCGCGUGUGUGAAGAAGGCCUUUUGGUUGUAAAGCACUUUAAGCGAGGAGGAGGCUACUUGGAUUAAUACUCUAAGAUAGUGGACGUUACUCGCAGAAUAAGCACCGGCUAACUCUGUGCCAGCAGCCGCGGUAAUACAGAGGGUGCGAGCGUUAAUCGGAUUUACUGGGCGUAAAGCGUGCGUAGGCGGCUUCUUAAGUCGGAUGUGAAAUCCCUGAGCUUAACUUAGGAAUUGCAUUCGAUACUGGGAAGCUAGAGUAUGGGAGAGGAUGGUAGAAUUCCAGGUGUAGCGGUGAAAUGCGUAGAGAUCUGGAGGAAUACCGAUGGCGAAGGCAGCCAUCUGGCCUAAUACUGACGCUGAGGUACGAAAGCAUGGGGAGCUAACAGG
rnacentral:rRNA from 1 species